GCUGGCGGUAUGCUUAACCAUGCAAGUCGAACGGAAGUCUUCGGACUUUAGUGGCGGACGGGUGAGUAACGCGUGAGAAUCUGGCUUUAGGUCGGGGACAACAGUUGGAAGCGACUGCUAAUACCGGAUAUGCCGAGAGGUGAAAGAUUAAUUGCCUGAAGAAGAGCUCGCGUCUGAUUAGCUAGUUGGUGGGGUAAGAGCUUACCAAGGCGACGAUCAGUAGCUGGUCUGAGAGGACGAUCAGCCACACUGGGACUGAGACACGGCCCAGACUCCUACGGGAGGCAGCAGUGGGGAAUUUUCCGCAAUGGGCGAAAGCCUGACGGAGCAAUACCGCGUGAGGGAGGAAGGCUCUUGGGUUGUAAACCUCUUUUCUUAGGGAAGAAAAAAAUGACGGUACCUAAGGAAUCAGCAUCGGCUAACUCCGUGCCAGCAGCCGCGGUAAUACGGAGGAUGCAAGCGUUAUCCGGAAUGAUUGGGCGUAAAGCGUCCGCAGGUGGCAUUUCAAGUCUGCGGUCAAAGGUCGAGGCUCAACCUCGAACAGGCCGUGGAAACUGAAAAGCUAGAGUGUGGUAGGGGCAGAGGGAAUUCCCAGUGUAGCGGUGAAAUGCGUAGAGAUUGGGAAGAACACCGGUGGCGAAAGCGCUCUGCUAGGCCAAGACUGACACUGAGGGACGAAAGCUAGGGGAGCGAAUGGGAUUAGAUACCCCAGUAGUCCUAGCCGUAAACGAUGGAUACUAGGUGUAGCUUGUAUCGACCCAAGCUGUGCCGUAGCUAACGCGUUAA
rnacentral:rRNA from 1 species